UUGGUACAGUCGACAUGCGCGCCAAAGUUUUGUAACAGCAAUGGCGUCCAAAACAGGUCGUGGUGGGAAGAAGCGCAAAGCAGAAGUUCAGGCAGAGGCAGAGAAACCUUCAGUCGAGGAAAAGAAGGGCAGGGGAGAGGAUAAAAGUGGCCAGGAAGGCCUAAGGGUGGUCAUUGAACAUUGUAAAAGCUGACGAGUAUACGGGCGUAAUGCUGAGGAGGUGAAAUCCGCACUCCUUGCUGCUCGCCCUGAGCUGACUGUGGUCCUCAACCCUGAGAAGCCCCGCAGGAACAGCUUUGAGAUCACUCUGCUGGAUGGAGGCAAAGAAACAUCUCUUUGGACUGGAAUAAAGAAGGGUCCGCCUCGUAAGCUGAAGUUUCCACAGUCUGAUGUCAUAGUUGCUGCUCUGCAGGAGGCUCUGAAGGCUUAGACACCCAGUGUAGGUAACUUGAUGCAACCUGUGAAGAGAAUUAACCUCACCAGACUGACCCAGCAUUCAGGAGAUGCAGCCAGUAGAAGCAAAAAUGACGAGGAGUGAUCAAGGAGAUGUUCUCAGUCCCUCUUCUGAUGAGCCAAGCUCCAACUGCUGACAUCUUCUGGGUACAUGGUGACACCUAGUGGAACUUUGCUGCACCAAAGCAAUUCUCGAAUAUAUUCCUGUUGUUUUCUCUCCUUUCACAAUGUUCAUCGGUGGUUUUAUGUCUGUUUUUGGUAAAUAAAAUCUUUUUCCUUUUUUUUUGUUAA